rnacentral:tRNA from 1 species
GUCCCUGUAGCUUAUACAAAGCAUGACACUGAAGACGUCAAGAUGGCUGCCACACGCACCCAGAGACA